rnacentral:rRNA from 1 species
UACGUAGGUGACAAGCGUUAUCCGGAAUUACUGGGCGUAAAGCGCACGCAGGCGGCCGAGUAAGUCUGACGUGAAAUCUCCCGGCUUAACCGGGAGCGGUCGUUGGAAACUACUUGGCUUGAGGCGAUGAGAGGGGUGUGGAGUUCCCGGUGUAGUGGUGGAAUGCGUAGAUAUCGGGAGGAACAUCAGUGGCGAAAGCGGCACCCUGGAAUUAGCCUGACGCUCAGGUGCGAAAGCGUGGGGAGCGAACGGG